rnacentral:rRNA from 1 species
UACGUAGGGUGCGAGCGUUAAUCGGAAUUACUGGGCGUAAAGCGUGCGCAGGCGGCGCCGCAAGUCAGGCGUGAAAUCCCCGAGCUUAACUUGGGAAUGGCGCUUGAAACUACGGUGCUGGAGUGUGGCAGAGGGAGGUGGAAUUCCACGUGUGCAGGUGAAAUGCGUAGAGAUGAUGGAGGAACACCGAUGGCGAAGGCAGCCUCCUGGGCCAACACUGACGCUCAUGCACGAAAGCGUGGGGAGCAAACAGG